CCUAGUAACGGCGAGUGAAGCGGCAACAGCUCAAAUUUGAAAGCUGGCUCCGGCCCGCAUUGUAAUUUGCAGAGGAUGCUUUUGGCGAGGUGCCUUCCGAGUUCCCUGGAACGGGACGCCAUAGAGGGUGAGAGCCCCGUAUGGAUGGACACCAAACCUGUGUAAAGCUCCUUCAACGAGUCGAGUAGUUUGGGAAUGCUGCUCUAAAUGGGAGGUAAAUCUCUUCUAAAGCUAAAUACCGGCCAGAGACCGAUAGCGCACAAGUAGAGUGAUCGAAAGAUGAAAAGCACCUUGAAAAGGGGGUUAAACAGUACGUGAAAUUGUUGAAAGGGAAGCAUUUAUGACCAGACUUGCGCCGGGCAGCUCAUCAGGGGUUCUCCCCUGUGCACUCUGCCCGGCUCAGGCCAGCAUCGGUUCUCGUGGGAGGAUAAGAACAGUGGGAACGUGGCCCCCCUCCGGGGGGGUGUUAUAGCCCAUUGUACGAUACUCUCGUGGGGACCGAGGUUCGCGCUCCGCAAGGAUGCUGGCGUAAUGGUCAUCAAUGACCCGUCUUGAAACACGGACCAAGGAGUCGUCCAUUAGAGCGAGCGUUUGGGUGUAAAACCCGCACGCGUAAUGAAAGUGAACGCAGGUGAGAGCUUCGGCGCAUCAUCGACCGAUCCUGAUGUCUUCGGAUGGAUUUGAGUAAGAGUUUUAACGGACGGACCCGAAAGACAGUGAACUAUGCUUGUAUAGGGUGAAGCCAGAGGAAACUCUGGUGGAGGCUCGCAGCGGUUCUGACGUGCAAAUCGAUCGUCAAAUAUGAGCAUGGGGGCGAAAGACUAAUCGAACUGUCUAGUAGCUGGUUACCGCCGAAGUUUCCCUCAGGAUAGCAGUGUUGUUCUUCAGUUUUAUGAGGUAAAGCGAAUGAUUAGGGACUCGGGGGCGCUUAUUAGCCUUCAUCCAUUCUCAAACUUUAAAUAUGUAAGAAGCCCUUGUUACUUAAUUGAACGUGGGCAUUCGAAUGUACCAACACUAGUGGGCCAUUUUUGGUAAGCAGAACGGGCGAUGCGGGAUGAACCGAACGCGGGGUUAAGGCGCCAGAGUGUACGCUCAUCAGACACCACAAAAGGCGUUAGUACAUCUUGACAGCAGGACGGUGGCCAUGGAAGUCGGAAUCCGCUAAGGACUGUGUAACAACUCACCUGCCGAAUGUACUAGCCCUGAAAAUGGAUGGCGCUCAAGCGUACCGCCCAUACCCCGCCCUCAGGGUAGAAACGAUGCCCUGAGGAGUAGGCGGCCGUGGGGGUCAGUGACGAAGCCUAGGG
rnacentral:rRNA from 1 species